GUUUACUUGGUUUUUUGUUUUGUUUGAAAAAUGUUUACAGUGAAUGGUAUCUUCUCUGGGAACCAGGAAGGGGCCAGUCACCAUGGCAAACUCCUGUGAUUUUUGUACUCCUUCCAUUACCUUGUCCAAGGUGCUCCACUCGCCCAUGACAAUGGGAUUUGAUGGACUGACAGUUGGCAUUUCAACUUUUGAGAUCCAGUUCUUUCUGUCUAGUGGGUGCUGAGAUGAGAAAACUGAAGCUCAGAGAGGUUAAAUAAUAUGACCAUGCUGCCUGUCUUGCAGAUGGAGAAGUCCCUAUUGUUUUAGGGGUGAGGAGUCAAGGAAUGACUUCUAUCUACGGACUGCCCGCCAUGGAACUCCGGAUCCAGGAAGUCUUGGAAACAUUUUCCUCCACCUUUAUCUCAGAGCUCUCCUCCAUGGUGUCCAGAUCCUGUUCAGGGUCAAGAGACAGGCCUGCUUCCAAGACCGUCAUGACUGCUGUCAUACCACUUUUGACCAACGCUGUUACCAUCUCUUUCCUGGACUACAGUGGAAGCUCCUAAUCUGCCUCCUCACUUACAUGGUCACCACCU